UACGGAGGGUGCGAGCGUUAAUCGGAAUUCUGGCGUAAGCGUACGCAGGCGGUUUGUUAAGCGAGAUGUGAAAGCCCCGGGCUUAACCUGGGAACUGCAUUUCGAACUGGCAGGCUAGAGUGUGAUAGAGGGUGGUAGAAUUUCAGGUGUAGCGGUGAAAUGCGUAGAGAUCUGAAGGAAUACCGAUGGCGAAGGCAGCCACCUGGGUCAACACUGACGCUCAUGUACGAAAGCGUGGGGAGCAAACAGGGAUUAAGAUACCCCGGUAGUCC
rnacentral:rRNA from 1 species